ensembl:lncRNA
ACACAACCUAAACCUGCGAGGAAGAAGUCUUCCGUUCGCCCCUGUCCUCAGGGGUGCGGCUUCGCCUUGCAUGAUAAGGACCAGCACGAAGCGUGUCCCGUCUGUAUGGGUAUUGUCCACGCCAGGAGAGCGUUGACGGAGCCCGGAGCUUGUGGUUUUUGCCAACCACUUCGCCACUCCACCCUUGAGAGACGCGUUACUUUCGUAGAAAGAGUGCUGGGCCAGGCUACAGUCGCUCGGCAGGACCCACUCCUCUCCGAGUCGAGGGACCCAGCUUCGUCUGCGUCCAACUCGGAUGAGCCUUUGGCCCACGUCCCUACUGGUGACUGGGCUGAACAUAUGGAGUUUGUCGACGGGCUAGCCGAACUUGAACCGGAGCCCCCCGAGAGCGCUGGCCAGCUGCCGCUGCAGCUAGCUGCUCCCCAGGACGAAGAAGACGUUCUAGACAUCGGCCUGGACGUGCAUGGGUUAUCGGAGGAUGAGCAAGACGCACUUGCGUCGGGUCAAUAUGCCACCGACACUACAGCGGUUGGCGAUGGCGAUACUUCUUUCUUUUCUCUGUAUCGUCGUGCAGCGGAAGAAUUGGAGGUUGACUGGCCCGCUGCUGCACCGGCUCAGAAACAAUCCCGCUUCGCGGGAUUCUACCUUCCCCAGGAACCAACCGCGACCAAAAACGGAUUUUGUGUCGGAGCUAACGUCGGCUUGGAGCAAGCCACUUUCUACCCGCGUCACAGUGGCGGGGUAUGGGCAAUACUUGGACCUGGACGGUGCUGACAAGGCUGGGUUAGUCAACCCCCCACCCAUGGAACCAUCUCUGGCAGCGUACCUUGCUCCAUUGCAGAACCACGGUGUGGGCGGCCCCACGACCCUGCCAUCCAAACACUGCAGGUUCUCUGCCUCGCAGUUGGAUAAAAUGUACCGAGCACAGGCGAGUACCGCUCGUGCGCUAAGCUCGGUUACCAUGCUCCAGACAUAUCAGGCCAUGCGCUUGGCGGAGCUCGGGUCGCUGAUGCCCGCCGACAGUCCGACGGUGCCCCUCUUAAACGAAGUCCGACUUGCCACAGAUUACAUCCUUCGUGUUUCCCGCUGUGCAGCGCUCUCCCUCGGCAGAGGAAUGGCUUCUACGGUGGUGGCACAGAGGCACCUGUGGCUCACUCUCUCGGACGUGCCGGAGAGGGACAGGGCUGUGUACUUGGAUGAACCAGUGUCUGCUGAGGGAUUGUUUGGACAUUCACUCGACGCCAUUCAGGCGAAGUUUGAGAUGAGGAAGAAGCAAACAGAGGCUCUGCGCAGCAUCAUCCCCAGACGCGACGCGAAGCCCAGGCCAUCAACCAGUGCUCGUAGGCCCGCAGCGCCGCAGCCGCCUCCCCCCAAGAGACCGGCGCCGCUUGCGAGCUCACACUUCCACCCCGUGAAGCAGCAUCAGCAGCCGAGUCAAACUCAUGGUCAAGCUCCACGCCAGUCGGCUUGGAACAAAGGGCCGCCGCCGAGCUUCCGUAAAGACUCUGCGACGCGGAGGAGGAAGCCACAAGACUCCUAACUUCGGGAGUACAGAGGGCAGAGCAGCAUGGAGACACUGCCAGCCCUCAUCUGUUGCCGCCAAAGAGGUUGCCAUGUUAUGUUCAAGGGUCCAGCCCCAAAAGGCGUUGUUUUCCCCUAACACAGUCUCCCAAGCACUCACCCCCCAUACACUCAAGUGCAUGUUGAUUUGCAAAUGUUUCUGUGUUCAGUGCCCCAAUAAAGGUGCCCCAUGUUCAAGAUGUAAACAUUCCCAUGUUAAAACCAAUAAAGGCUGCGUUUUGUGUGAAAAAUAUUGCUUGUCAAGAUACAAGUCAAAUAAAACACAGCAGGCGGUUAAUGCCGUCACCUCCCGGCCCACUGGGGGGCGACAUACUACCACCUACAGUACAGGAGGUCAGUCGGCUGUCAGCACAACUUCCCCAGUGGCGCGCGUGCGCAGUCUGCCCAUGGGUAGAAAGAACUGUUGCUAUGGGUUACCGGUUACAGUUUUGCGCCCGGCCACCUCGCUUCCUCUCUGUAGUAAACACAGUUGUAACAAGCGAAGCAGCAGCCGUGCUGAGGGAGGAAAUACACACUUUGCUGAGCAAAAAUGCAAUAGUGGUUCCGACUUCGGAGGCGAACAGAGGUUGGUACAGCCGUUAUUUCGUUGUCCCGAAGAAAGGGGGGGGACUACGUCCGAUCCUAGACCUGCGUGUAUUAAACAAAUACCUGCGGUCUUACAGGUUCAAAAUGCUGACACUCAGACAGCUACUGAACGCUGUCAGUACGGGAGAUUGGUGUGCGACGAUCGAUCUAACAGACGCAUACUUCCAUGUAGCGAUCCACCCGCACCACAGACAGUUUCUCAGGUUUGCAUUCGAAGGGACGGCAUACGAAUACCUGGUGCUACCGUUCGGUCUGUCGCUAGCCCCGCGCACCUUUUCAAAAUGUGUCGAGGCGGCGUUAGCUCCUCUUCGAGAGAAGGGCGUUCGCAUCCUAGCCUACCUAGACGAUUGGGCUUUGGUGGCAAGCUCCAAGGAGCAAGCAGCAGUGCAACUGUCGCUAGUUCUGUCUCAUAUUCAAACGCUAGGGUUUUCAGUGAACGAACGGAAAAGCUCGCUGUACCCGAGUCAGCAGUUUUCCUUCCUCGGACUCGAAAUAUGCUCCGUUUCAGGCCGAGCAUGUCUUUCAGAGCACAGAGUGACCGCGUUUCUCCGCUGCCUUGCUCAAUUUCAGUUGGGACACAGACUGUGUUUUCGGACAGUUUUGAAGCUGUUGGGCACGAUGGCAUCUAUGAUCGCGGUAGUGCCGCUCCGGCUGUUAAAGAUGCGAGCGUUUCAACGUUGGACUCUGUCUCAUCGGCUGUGCACGCGGCGUCAUCUUCGACGAAUGCUGGCGAUAACCCCGUCUUGUAUGUCAGCUCUCCUCCCAUGGAGGGAUCCCGCUCUACUGAGUCAAGGUUCCGCGAUAGGGAGGGUGACUUUUCGCAAAGUGUUGUCCACGGAUGCCUCCCUCAAAGGGUGGGGGGCUCUGUGAGACAGUGUCGCGGUGAGAGGGGUUUGGUCGGCGGCUCAAAGCCAGCUUCACAUCAACCACUUGGAAAUGCUAGCAGUGUUUUUAGCCCUAAAGCAUUUCUGUCCAGCUUUGACAGGCCAGCAUGUCCUGAUCAGGACAGACAACACAACUGUGGUUUCAUACAUAAACAAGCAGGGAGGGACCCGCUCACUUCCCCUGUUAAAACUGUCUCGCUCUCUGUUACUAUGGUGCAGUGUGCAUUUUCUGUCUCUCAGAGCCACCCAUAUCUCAGGUCAUUUGAACCUAGGGGCAGACCUUCUUUCCAGGGGAGGGCCUCUAGUGAGGGAAUGGAGGUUGCAUCCAGCAGUGGUGGCUCAGAUAUGGGAGCGCUUCGGCAGGGCGGAAGUCGACCUCUUUGCCUCCAGGUCGAACACCCACUGCCCCUUGUUCUUUUCCAUGACGGAUCGAAACGCGCCUCUGGGAAUGGAUGCGCUAGCUCAUCAAUGGCCGAACACUCUCCUAUAUGCGUUUCCUCCUGUGGAGAUGAUAUCGCCUAUUCUGGGGAGGGUGCGCCAGCAGGGGCUGUCCCUGAUACUGGUGGCGCCUCAGUGGCCAGCGAAGUCGUGGUAUGCAGAGAUGAUCAGCCUGUUGAUGGAGAGGCCGUGGCCUCUUCCUCUCAUCAGCAACCUUCUUUCCCAGGCAGGGGGGGAGGUAAUUCAUCCACGCCCCGAACUGUGGCGUCUCCAUGCUUACCUGUUGAAAGGUCCAAUCUGAUAGCUAAGGGUCUGCCUCCGAGUGUCGUGGAAACGAUCCAAAGCGCAAGAGCAUCGUCCACCAGAGGCUUAUAUGCUUAUAAAUGGCGGGCAUUUGAGCAGUGGUGUGAAGACCAGAAUGUUCUCCCUUUCCAGUGCUCUAUUGUGGACUUUUUAAUGUUCCUUCAGGGGCUUUUGGAUAAAGGGCUUUCUUUUUCCACAAUUAAAGUCUAUUUGGCGGCUAUAUCGGCCUGUCAUAUCGGCUUUGAUGGUGUGACACCAGGUGCUCACCCUUUAGCCGUGCGAUUCUUAAAGGGAGUUCGCCGGUUGAGGCCCGUUGUUAAAUCCAGCAUUCCCUCAUGGGAUUUGGUUUUAGUACUUGAGGCUCUUUGUGGUCCUCCUUUUGAGCCUAUUGAGUCGGUCGAUACGAAAUUUGUUUCAUACAAGACUGCACUACUCCUGGCUUUGACCUCUGCAAAGCGGGUUGGCGACCUUCAUGCGUUAUCUGUGCAUUCCUCUUGUACCCAGUUCACCUCGGAUGGCUCCAAGGUUACGUUGCGUCCGAAUGCGGCAUAUUUGCCUAAAGUCAUUCCUGCGGCGUAUAACUCUAUGACAUUUGAGCUCUCAAGCUUUUGUCCUCCUCCUUUUGCCUCUGAAGAGCUGAGGAGGCUACAUUGCCUGUGUCCUGUGCGUAUGCUGCGCACCUACAUUGACCGCACUCAGGGUGUGAGGCUUUGUGACCAGUUGUUUGUUUGCUUCGCUAAUCCAGCAAGGGGAAAGGCACUGUCUAAACAGCGACUUUCCCACUGGAUUGUGGAAGCGAUCUCCCUGGCUUAUAGCAGCAGAGGCCUCCCCUUACCCCAAGGGGUGAGGGCACAUUCAACUAGGGGCAUGGCAACGUCAUGGGCGUUGUUUAGAGGGGUAUCAGUGACUGAUAUCUG